rnacentral:lncRNA from 10 species
CAAAUGGCAGGCUUUCCUUCAUUUAAAAGUCUGAAAAUAUUCUAUUGUCUGUAUAUAUCAUAUUUUUAUUAAUCAUCCAUCUGUCCACAGACAUUUAAGUUAUUUCCAUAUCUUGGCUACUGUGAAUAACAGUGCAAUUAAUGUGAAUACACAGAUACCUCUUUACAGUGUUAGGUCUUAUGUAUAAUUCUUUAAUCCAUUCUGAGGUGAUUUUGGAUAUGGUGAUGCCCAUUCUUACCACCUCUAUUUAAUUUAGUGCUGGAAGUCAACCAAAACAAUUAGAAAAAAAGUGAUAAAUGACAUCAAAACUGGAAAGGAAUAAGUACAAUUAUCUCUGCUUGCAGAUGACUUGGUCUUCUAAACAGAAAAUCCUACGGACUAAACACACACACACACACACACACACACACCCCUUUUAGAACUAAUAAACUAGUUCUGCCAAGUUGCAGGUUAAAAAUAUUAAUAUAAAAAAUCAGUUUUCUUUCUAUACAUUAACAGCAAACUAUCUCAAAAAGAAAUUAAAAAAUAAUUUUAUUUAGUAUCACAUCAAAAAGAAUAAAAUACUUUGAAACAAACUUAACCAAGAAAGUGAAGGACUUAUACCUUAAAAACUAUAAAUUAUUGAUAAAAGAAAAUUUAAAAGACACAAAUAAAUGGAAAGACACCCUGUGUUCAUGGAUUGGAGAGUUUACUAUUGCUAAAAUGCCCCAAACCCGAAGUGUUGUACAAAUUCAAUGCAGUCCAUAUCAAAAUAAUAAUGACAUUUCUACACAAAUAGGAAAACAAUUCUAAAAUUUACAUGGAAACACAAAUGAUUCCAAAUAUCCAGUUAUCUUGAGAAAGAGGAACAAAGCUGGAGGCAUGGAAUUUCCUGAUUUAAAGAUAUAUUAUGGUGCUACAGUAAUUAAAACCGUAUGCUACUGACAUAAAAAUGGGGCCCAUAUAAACCAAUAGAACAGAAUAGAGAACCCAGAAAUAAACCCAAGUAUAUACAAUCAACUGCUUUUCCACAAGAGUGCCAAGAAUAUAGGAUGGGGAAAGAAUGGUCUCCUCAACAAAUGGUGCUGGGAAAACUGAGCAGCAGAGUAAAAUUGCACCCUGUUCAUUUUCUGAUCUUUUCUUAGGAGUUCUUUAAUCUGGCAUUAAGCAUAGCCAAUAAAUUUUUCAUUUCAGAUAAUUGCAUUUUACCCCCUUAGAAGGGCUUUUUUUUUCUUUUUUCACUAAGUUUACGUGACUCUUUAGGUAAUUUAUUUAAAAUAUUUUGACAUCUUUAUCUUCCAAUUCCAUGAAUUCAGUUCUUUUUUAGGCCUGAUUUUAUGACUGAUUUUUCACUUGCUUGUGGGUCCUUCUCUUCUGUUACUUUGCAUCUCAUAUUUUUUGAAAGACUAUUGCCUAUCAUUAAUCUUACAUUAUGAUUUUCUGGAUAAAAUGUUACUUUUUAAAUGAAAGGCACUUAAAUUACUUUCAGAUCAGCUUUAUCACAUUUAGGCCAGUUUUAAGCUUUAUUAGGACAGGUCUAAAAUAGCUUUUAAUCUUCAUAUAUUUCAGUCCUCUUUCUGGUGUUACUAUGGAUAGCUCCAGUGUUCAAUGAGACUGCUCCAUGCUGGCUUGUUAACACCAGGAAUUAUUUUUGAGCUCUGGGAAUUAUUUAGCUUAUAGUGAUUUCACAAAAUUUCUGGAUUAUUCAUCUAGUGUCUGUGGGAUCAGUAGUGAUGGUUUUCUCUCAUUUCUGAUAUUGGCAAUUUGUGUUCUUCCUCUCCCUCUUUUUUCUUCCUUAGGCUGGCUACAGAACUAUCGUUGAGCUUUUGCUUUCAAUUAUUUUCUAUGUUGUUUUCUCUUUCCAUUUUUUUGUUUUCUGCUAUAAUAUUCAUUAUUCUGUUCUUUCUGCUUAUUCUAGAUAUAAGUUGCUCUUCUUACUUUCAUUUUCCAAAAGUUUAGUUUACUGAUUUAGAUAUUUCUUCUUUUCUAACAAAUGCAUUUAAUAUUAUAAAUUAUCAUCUAACAUGAAUAUUUAAAAUUUUGAUAAGUUGCAUUCUUGUUUUCACGUAGCCUAAAAUAGUUUUUGUUCAUCUCACUUAGAAAUGCAUCAUAAAUUUCUAAAUAUUUAGGAAUUUUUACAUAUAUUUCUGUUACUGGUAUCUAGUUUAAUUUUGUUAUGAACCAAUAAAAUAUUUUAUAUGACUUGUACUAGUUUUUAAAUUUGUUAAAGUCUAUGGUUUUAACAUUGCUAAGGUUAAUUCUUCCUAUGACAUGGGUAAAAAUGUAUGUUCUGCUAUUGCAUAAAGUAUUAUAUAAAUGUUUAUUAGGACAAAUUUGUUGUUUGUCUCCAGGUCAUCCAUAGCCUUGAUAUCCUGCUUACUUGAUAUUGAUAUUCUACCUGCUUACUCUAUUAAUAACAGAGAAAGUAUAGAGCUGGCUUUUGUUUUUAUAUUUAAUCUCUGAAUCUGUUUUUUAUCUGGUAGUUUUAGACCUAGAAUUAGCAAGCCAUGGCUCAAAGACCAGCUAUAGCUUAUCACCUGCUUUUCUAAAUAAACUCAUAUUGAAAACAGCCACACUCAUUUAUGUAUGUAUUGCCUAUGACUGCUGCAUAACAACAGCAGAGUUGAGUUGUUGCCAGAUAUAACAUAUCAUCCUCAAAGCCUGUGAUAUCUACUAGCCAAUUCUUUGCAUAAAACAGAGUAGAAAAGAUAAUUGAAGAUAAUUGGUGAAUAGACUCUUAAAUUGUUUACAUUAUUUAUUUAUUGUUGCAUAACAAUGUUACCACAAAAUUAUUUGCAUAAAAUAGCAUGCAUUUAUUACCACACAGCUUCUGUUAAUUAGGAGUCUGGUUACAACUUAGUUGGCGCUUCUGUUUCAAAGCUUCAUGAGGCUGUAAUAGAAGUGUUGGUUGGUAAUGUAGUCUCAUCUCAAGGCAGAACUGGGGCAGGAUUCACUUCCAAGCUCACAUGGUAGUUAUGACAAUUCAAUUAUUUGAUGUAAGGUUGGAGGCCUCAUUUUCUUGCUGGUUGCCAGGAAGAGGUUACCCCAAUUCCUAGCUGAUGAUUAGUUGGAGACUUCUCUCAGAUUCUUGGGUUCCCCAAGAUGACAUUAUGCUUCUUCAAAGCCAGCAAAAAAGAGAGUCUUCUAGCAAGAUGAAAAAUACAAUCUCAUGUAAUAUGAUCAUGGAAGUGAUUAUCAUCUUUGCUUUACUCCAUUGGUUGGUAGCAAAUUAUGAAUCUUGCCCACACAACUAAGAGAGAAGAUUCAACAAAGCCAUGAAUACAAGGAGAUGAGGAUUUGGAGGGCCUUUUAGAGUCUGUCUGCUACAAUAUGUUUCCCCCACUCUUUGGGAUUUUGUCAUCUUCAAGUCCUAGUCAUGUUGAGACAGACUUGCACUUUAAACUCUGCCUUUCAGUCCUGUAAAAAGUGCUGCCUUCAGCUUGGAACCUACUUAUUCAUUGCUGUGAUUUGGAAAAUUUCCUCAAAGACAAAGCAAUCAUAAAUAUGAAGCUUAACCUGCUUGUUCUUUCUGUUAAGUAAUGUCCUCAAGCCUUGCCUGUAUAUGUUUCCCUCAAAUUUCUUCAAGUGGUUCUAAAUAUUUUUUUCAUUCUUCAUAUUUAUAUUGGUUGUAGACUUAGUCUGAUAUAAGGUGCUGUGGCGUCUGCUUGAUUUAUUUAUAAUUAAUUUUCUUGGCAUAGGUUGGCAAGAUUGUGGUAAAGAGCUGACAAUGGAGUGUUACAUUUUAUUGUCAAAAUGAAUUUCCUUGGAACUGUAAUCUCAUAUGGAGACAUUGGAAUUCCACAUCUGGUAUGUAGGUGGCAUAUAUCAAACUUAAAACCUAUUAUUUUGAUAUCCCAAAUGUACCAUACAUGCAUUAAAUGCAAAAAAGAAAAAACCCUGUGUAGUCAUACCUUUGCUAACUAGGUAUUUACUGCUUCCUCUUUCAAACUUCUUGGCUUUAAAAAGCAUGCAUCUAACUUUAUUGGCAUUUUCUUGUCUUGAUUUAAAGGAAGACUUAAGCACAGUAUUAGUCAAGGUUCUCUAAAGGGACAGAACUAACAGGAUAUAUGUGUAUAUGAAGGGGAGUUUACUAGGAGAAAUGACUCACAUGAUUACAAGGUGAAGUCUCACAAGAGGCUGUCUGCAAGCUGAGGAGCAAGGAAUCCAGUCUGAGUCUCAAAACCUCAAAAGUACAGAAGCAGACAGUGGAGCCUUCAGUCUGUGGCCAAAGGCCUUAGAGUCCCUGGCAAAUCACUGGUGUAAGUCCAAGAUUCCAAAAGCUGAAGAAGUUGGAGUCUGAUGUUCAAGGGCAGGAAGCAUCCAGAACGGGAGAAAGAUAAAAGCCAGAAGACUCAGCACGUCAAGCCUCAUUCCACUUUCUUCUGCCUGCUUUAUUCUAGCCGUGCUGGCAGCUGAUUAGAUGGUGUCCAUCCAGACUGAGGUGUCUGUGGAUCUAACUUCUGAGCAUGAUAUAUCUCAAUUCCUCCGGGUCAAGACCUUUCAUGAGGCUGCAAUCAAACUACCAACUGAAACUAAAGUCAUCUCAAUGCUUGCAUGGGGAAUGAUCUGCCUCCAAGUUCACUCAGGUGGUUGUUGACAGGCCUUAAAUUUUCUUUGACUCUUAUUUGAAAAAAAAUCAGUUUCAUGUCAUGUGGGUGUUACAUAAACGCACCAAAGAUUGCCCUUAUGUUAAUGUAGUGGCCUAAUAUUGUUUACUUUUUAAACAAGAAGGCUAGGACAAGUAGCUCAAAGCUACUGACAACAAACUCAAAUUUUUACAGAUCCAUUAAAUGAAAUAACCCAAAUAAGUGUGUUUUUAGCCAUUUAGAGCCUCCUUCCUUUAUGUACCCCAUGAAAUUGCACUCAAAAUCAGCUAGCCAUACUUUAGACAAACCUUGGAGCUCUCUGACCCACAGUCUCCCCACUUUGCCACUGAGUGACAACACUAAACAUGUAAGCCCGUUCUUUGAUUCUCCUCUCCCUUGCCCUUUGCCUUUUCUGGGUGGUGGUCCCAGGUCACUAUUUCUGGAAAGCCUCCCACUGUGAAGGACUUUACUUCACAUGCAACUCUGUCAAGGCACCACCUAAUAAAAGUUUUGCAAUACUGCCAUAUCAUGGUUCUGUCAUUUCCUGAAUUAGUCUCCAAAUCCUCAGAUUCACCACAGUGGGUCUCUCUGGAGACCAACUCACAACAUGGCUGUUGGCUUCUUUCAGAGCAAGCAAGAGAGUGAUGGAG